rnacentral:rRNA from 1 species
AUGGAUCGCCGCCGCCAUCACCAAGCCAGAGAAUUCGUGGCGGACGUGGUGCUGUGGCGGCGAGGCCGGGCGGACCUGACCGCGCUGCUGCUAGCGGCCACCGUCGCCUCCUGGAUCCUCUUCAACCGCGCCUCCGGAUACACGGCCGUCUCACUGGCUGCCGACGUGCUGCUCCUCCUGCUGGUGGUGCUCUACGCAUGGUCCAGGGCCGCGCGCCUCCUCGGCCGCCCCGCCCCGUCCAUCCCCGACCUGCAGCCGGCGGCCGACGAGCUCGUCGCGCUGGUCCGCUCCGGCCUCGCCCGCCUCGCCUCCGCCUUCCGCCGCGUCGCGCAGGGCCAACCCGGCUCCGGGCGCGUCUUCGCCUGCCUCGCCGCUGCCGCCCUGCCCGGCGGCCUCGCGCGCGACCUCCCCACCCUUUUCAUAGCAGGAACUGGAAUCUGUGUGUUCGGGCGGUUUGCUCUAUCCCUCUCGUAA